CGAGUGUCAAAUGACUUUUAAGUAAAGGUAAACGUAGGGGACAAAAAAUAGCCUCUUUGAUUUGUCAUUUCAAAUUCAAUAAUCAACAAGAGUGCUGAAGAAACGGAGACCAGUCAGAUCAAUCUGCCUCAACAACAUGCACAAAAAAGAACACGUGUAGGCUGGCAUGCCCAACUCUUCACAGCAUGUUUCUUGAGCAGGCUCAUGAUAUUGUUUUUCCAGACUAAAUCAAAGGUCUGUAAGAUCAAAAAGCACGACAAAUUGGUACAGCCAGUAAACAUGCACAAUUACCAUCAUUAACCAAAAUGUAAAAUCGCAUCUUCUAUCCUUUUCAGAAAGGAGGGGACGGAGGUGUCAAUGCCGUGGAAGGUAUUCAAAAUUUCUUGUAAAUGCUACAGGUUAUUAUUUGGUUUUACAACACCCUGGAGCUUCCACCCACCGAGUCCUGCUAACACAAAAGCCUGAGAGUGUAACACACGGGGUCAGAUAAAGAUCAAGGUAAGUUAAUAUAAAAAUUAUUUUUGAUGCCCUAUAAUGUAACCAGAGCGGUAGCAAUUAACCAUUCUCAAAUUUUACCCCCUAUGACCUGUAUCUUAUAUCAUUUAACUAUCACUAACAAUUAAUUCAAAAAAACUUCUUGAACACAAAAAAUCUGUGUUUCUGAUUCAGCUCCUUCCACCCCGAACAAGUUUCUUUCUGCGGUUCAAUUCUCAAAUUAGAACUCUCUUAUAUCAAGCUUUCAUUGAUAGGUCUUGGACUAAAAAAUAUAAACCAAUUCAGAAGAACUUCACACUUUGUAAUGGCCAUUACUUAUUUGAAUAGAAGAAAGCUCAUAAUGCGACCAACCUUUUCCCUUUAAGAAUGGAAGGCUAAAGGCCAUAUUCAAGCUUUUACUGUAAAAAUCAUUUAGCAAAAUGGUAAAGCCCCUCAUGACAAUUAUCUGGCAACAUACCUAUUUUAAUCAUAUCCCUGCUUCUCGGAGAAUCCUUACCAAAGAAAGUCCAGAUUCAAUGCUCUCCAGGCAGUGAAAAAAGAUGCUAUCCUUUUUCUUUUAUAAACAUCUAAGACUACCAUGGAUUAGGACAUCAAUUUACAUGAAUAUCAAAAUCAAUUCAAAAGUUAAAAAAGGAUUCUUCCUUAAUAAGGGGAGAGAAUGGAAGUGCAACACUUUAUCUGUGACACAAAAAUAAUGCUUCAGCCUUACAGGCCUUGUUGUUUAGUCAGCACCUUCAACACACCUCCUAAAUUGCACCUCCUCAUUCUCCUCCAUAGGAGGCUAGAAAAUCCCAAAGAAUAAGUGAAUUUUGAAUUGAAAAUUUCAGACUGUAAUGCUUUGUAUAUGUAGAUGCCUUGUAUUUGUAGAUGCCCUACCCUAAGGAUGUCUGAUGCAUCCUCACUUUAGCUUCAACACAGCUUAAGAUUCGGAAAGCUAAUGCAAUUAAAGGUUAUCUGUCUUUGCUUGCCUUUCUUCCAAUUCCACCUAGUUUCUUCAAGGUACUAUGAUCCCACAUCCUUCUAAACCAGUCCUCCAAAUUCCCAAAUUCCUAAUCCUGAGGUUCUGAACUCCCCAUUUUCAGCAGCCGUAUCAGAAGUACCAACUAGUUUUAAACAAAAACAAGCUCUACUCUUAAUCAGUUAGUUACUCAUUUAGCUAUCUAACCAAGUUCUUUGAAACAACCCACCCUAUCGCUUGAAGACUUUUUUUUUUGGUGAUAUGUUGCAUGACAGCUUUUGCUGCAUCAGUUUUGUUUCAUGAUUCAUAAGAAAUUCUCUUCUUAUAUCACUUUUUCAUGUCAGACUGCCUGACUUGUCCACAUGGUCUUAAUAUUUUUGCACAUCUCUAAUUUUUCCAUUCAUUAUAUAAAACAUUAUUACUUAUUGCAGUACCAGUUUUGUUCGUGUUUCUUCUGUCUCUCAUAAGCUUUUCCCAACUAAAUUUUAAGGCUUUGUCUGGAAAUUGUACCAGCCAAGCGACUUAGAAUAGACAAAGUCAGUGUACUUCAUCACUAAAUAUUCCACUCCAGGAAAAAUUUAGAGUUCCUUUGAGUAAGGAUCUAAAGUAAGCAACUGGAGGUGUUAUGAUAGAAGUUUAUAAGUCUAAGCAUAGUAUCCUUCCACAUAAACCUGAUUUCCCAACAAAGCACACCUUAAUAAAAUGUUUGAAAAGUGGAAAGUGAGGGGUAAGAAAGAGAGGCAAAAGAAACAGGAGAACGCUUCCCUUUUGCUUAGAGAAAGGAGGGAAAAUGGCAGGCAAUAAGAGUGAAAGGAACAUAGAGACCUACAAACAAUUUUCUCUCCAAAGAAGGAAUUUUAUUUGGUGUAACCGUUAUACAUACAGAGGUUUAAUUAUAAUCAUUGAUCAUGAUGGGAUCCAUGUGAAACCCACCACAAUCAACGGUUACCAUAAAACUGUUGUACACACAUCAGUUUCAUUGUGUAAUUUUUCCCAAAGAAGAGACAAGUGAGAGGAAAAUUAAUCAAAUUACCUCUUUACCCUUUUUUUUUUCUUUUGCAAAAAAUGAAGAGCAAAAUUUUAAUAGAACAACUUUCUCUCUGUUUCCUUCCCCAA
rnacentral:misc_RNA from 1 species